rnacentral:rRNA from 1 species
GACGAGCGCUGGCGGCGUGCUUAACACAUGCAAGUCGAACGGAAAGGCCCUGCUUUUGUGGGGUGCUCGAGUGGCGAACGGGUGAGUAACACGUGAGUAACCUGCCCUUGACUUUGGGAUAACUUCAGGAAAAUGGGGCUAAUACCGGAUAGGAGCUCCUGCUGCAUGGUGGGGGUUGGAAAGUUUCGGCGGUUGGGGAUGGACUCGCGGCUUAUCAGCUUGUUGGUGGGGUAGUGGCUUACCAAGGCUUUGACGGGUAGCCGGCCUGAGAGGGUGACCGGCCACAUUGGGACUGAGAUACGGCCCAGACUCCUACGGGAGGCAGCAGUGGGGAAUAUUGCACAAUGGGCGGAAGCCUGAUGCAGCAACGCCGCGUGCGGGAUGACGGCCUUCGGGUUGUAAACCGCUUUCGCCUGUGACGAAGCGUGAGUGACGGUAAUGGGUAAAGAAGCACCGGCUAACUACGUG